GCAUAUCAAUAAGCGGAGGAAAAGAAACUAACAAGGAUUCCCCUAGUAACUGCGAGUGAAGCGGGAAAAGCUCAAAUUUAAAAUCUGGCAGUCUUUGAUUGUCCGAGUUGUAAUCUAGAGAAGUGUUAUCCGCGUUGGACCGUGUACAAGUCUCCUGGAAUGGAGCGUCAUAGAGGGUGAGAAUCCCGUCUUUGACACGGACUACCAGUGCUUUGUGAUGCGCUCUCAAAGAGUCGAGUUGUUUGGGAAUGCAGCUCAAAAUGGGUGGUAAAUUCCAUCUAAAGCUAAAUAUUGGCGAGAGACCGAUAGCGAACAAGUACCGUGAGGGAAAGAUGAAAAGAACUUUGGAAAGAGAGUUAAACAGUACGUGAAAUUGCUGAAAGGGAAACGCUUGAAGUCAGUCGCGUUGUCCGGGGAUCAACCUUGCUUUUGCUGGGUGUACUUUCCGGUUGACGGGUCAGCAUCAAUUUUGACCGUUGGAUAAAGUGUAGGGGAAUGUGGCAUCUUCGGAUGUGUUAUAGCCUCUGCUCGCAUACAACGGUUGGGAUUGAGGAACUCAGUACGCCGCAAGGCCGGGAAUUUAUUCCACGUUCGUACUUAGGAUGCUGGCAUAAUGGCUUUAAUCGACCCGUCUUGAAACACGGACCAAGGAGUCUAACAUGCCUGCGAGUGUUUGGGUGGAAAACCCGAGCGCGUAAUGAAAGUGAAAGUUGAGAUCCCUGUCGUGGGGAGCAUCGACGCCCGGACCAGACCUUUUGUGACGGAUCUGCGGUAGAGCAUGUAUGUUGGGACCCGAAAGAUGGUGAACUAUGCCUGAAUAGGGUGAAGCCAGAGGAAACUCUGGUGGAGGCUCGUAGCGAUUCUGACGUGCAAAUCGAUCGUCAAAUUUGGGUAUAGGGGCGAAAGACUAAUCGAACCAUCUAGUAGCUGGUUCCUGCGA
rnacentral:rRNA from 1 species